UUCAAGUUUGGGGUUGCAUGGGGGAAAUUGAUAGACAAAUGAAAAGCAUUGAGCUCAAAUGUUGUGAAAAGAAAAAUUCAUGAGAAAAAGAAAAGAAAAGAAGAAAAGCAUGAAGAUGAGCUUAACGAAAAAGAAAAGGGGAAAAAGUUGGGAAUAAGUGAGAUUGGUGAGGAAGAGAGUUGUGCUUCAAUGUUGAAUACUUUGAUAGCCCUCUUAACUCAAGGACUUUGUAUUCCAGAAAAACCAAUUCUUCUUGCUAGCCUAACCUCACUACAAGCCUUGAAAAAGUCCUUUGGAUGGCAUUUGCAUGUAAAGAU
rnacentral:lncRNA from 1 species